rnacentral:rRNA from 1 species
UACCCGCUGAACUUAAGCAUAUCAAUAAGCGGGAGGAAAAGAAACCAACAGGGAUUGCCUCAGUAACGGCGAGUGAAGCGGCAAGAGCUCAAAUUUGAAAGCUGGCCCCUUCGGGGUCCGCGUUGUAAUUUGCAGAGGAUGCUUCGGGUGCAGCCCCCGUCUAAGUGCCCUGGAACGGGCCGUCAUAGAGGGUGAGAAUCCCGUCUGGGACGGGGUGUCUGCGUCCGUGUGAAGCUCCUUCGACGAGUCGAGUUGUUUGGGAAUGCAGCUCUAAAUGGGUGGUAAAUUUCAUCUAAAGCUAAAUACUGGCCGGAGACCGAUAGCGCACAAGUAGAGUGAUCGAAAGAUGAAAAGCACUUUGAAAAGAGAGUUAAACAGCACGUGAAAUUGUUGAAAGGGAAGCGUUUGCGACCAGACUCGCCCGCGGGGUUCAGCCGGCAUUCGUGCCGGUGUACUUCCCCGUGGGCGGGCCAGCGUCGGUUUGGGCGGCCGGUCAAAGGCCCUCGGAAUGUAUCACCUCUCGGGGUGUCUUAUAGCCGAGGGUGCAAUGCGGCCUGCCUGGACCGAGGAACG